rnacentral:rRNA from 1 species
GAUGAACGCUGGCGGCGGGCCUAAUACAUGCAAGUCGAGCGAACAGAUGAGGAUCUUUUUCUUCGGACGUUAGCGGCGGACGGGUGAGUAACACGCGGAUAACCUACCUAUAGGAUUGUCAUAACUUCGGGACUCCGGAGCUAAUACCUGAUAAUAGAUUUAAUCACUUGGCUCAUUAGUGAGAGUCGGUUUUUCCGUCACGUCUAUAUGGAUCCGCGCCGCAUUAUAUAGUUGGUAAGGUAACGCCUUACCAAGUCAACGAUGCGUAGCUGACCUGAGAGGGUGAGCGGCCCCACUGGAACGGAGACACGGUCCAGACUACACCGGUAGGCAGCAGAAGGGAAUCUUACGCAAGGGGAGAAAGCCUGACGGAGCACAGCCGAGUGAGGGAUAAAGGUCCUGGGAUCGUAAAACUAUGUUAUUAGGGAAGAACAAAUGUGUAAGUAACGAUGCACGGCUUGACGGUACCUAAUCAGAAAGGCACGGCUAACUACGUG